rnacentral:misc_RNA from 1 species
AACGCAUAUUGCGCCGAAGGCUUCGGCCAACGGCAUGUCUGCCUCAGCGUCGGUUUAUCCCCUCACCCCACCAUCCCUCGGGAUGGAGCGCCUGCUAAUACUGCGGGCCUUGGAGUGGAUCUGGCUCUCCCAAUUGCUUGCAAUUGGGUUGGCUGAAGCACAGAGGCUUGAGCAAGGACCCGUUAUGGGCUCAACUGGAUAGGUAGCACCGGGGCUUUGUGCACCGACUACACGAAGUUGACGCCUGUGGACCUUGCUGGGGGCCAGCAGGAAACCCUGUAAAGGGCAACCAAACCUUCGACCUGAGCUCAGGCAAGAACACCCGCUGAACUUAA